rnacentral:rRNA from 1 species
UACGAAGGGGGCUAGCGUUACUCGGAAUGACUGGGCGUAAAGGGCGCGUAGGCUGUUUGCUUAGUUAGGCGUGAAAUUCCUGGGCUCAACCUGGGGGCUGCGCUUAAUACAGGUAGACUGGAGUGUGAAAGAGGGUCGUGGAAUUCCCAGUGUAGAGGUGAAAUUCGUAGAUAUUGGGAAGAACACCGGUGGCGAAGGCGGCGACCUGGUUCAUUACUGACGCUGAGGCGCGAAAGCGUGGGGAGCAAACAGG